GGUUAAGCGACUAAGCGUACACGGUGGAUGCCCUGGCAGUCAGAGGCGAUGAAGGACGUGCUAAUCUGCGAUAAGCGUCGGUGAGGUGAUAUGAACCGUUAUAACCGGCGAUUUCCGAAUGGGGAAACCCAGUGUGUUUCGACACACUAUCAUUAACUGAAUCCAUAGGUUAAUGAGGCGAACCGGGGGAACUGAAACAUCUAAGUACCCCGAGGAAAAGAAAUCAACCGAGAUUCCCCCAGUAGCGGCGAGCGAACGGGGAGGAGCCCAGAGCCUGAAUCAGUGUGUGUGUUAGUGGAAGCGUCUGGAAAGGCGUGCGAUACAGGGUGACAGCCCCGUACACAAAAAUGCACAUAUUGUGAGCUCGAUGAGUAGGGCGGGACACGUGGUAUCCUGUCUGAAUAUGGGGGGACCAUCCUCCAAGGCUAAAUACUCCUGACUGACCGAUAGUGAACCAGUACCGUGAGGGAAAGGCGAAAAGAACCCCGGCGAGGGGAGUGAAAAAGAACCUGAAACCGUGUACGUACAAGCAGUGGGAGCCUCUUAAUGGGGUGACUGCGUACCUUUUGUAUAAUGGGUCAGCGACUUAUAUUCUGUAGCAAGGUUAACCGAAUAGGGGAGCCGAAGGGAAACCGAGUCUUAACUGGGCGUUAAGUUGCAGGGUAUAGACCCGAAACCCGGUGAUCUAGCCAUGGGCAGGUUGAAGGUUGGGUAACACUAACUGGAGGACCGAACCGACUAAUGUUGAAAAAUUAGCGGAUGACUUGUGGCUGGGGGUGAAAGGCCAAUCAAACCGGGAGAUAGCUGGUUCUCCCCGAAAGCUAUUUAGGUAGCGCCUCGUGAAUUCAUCUCCGGGGGUAGAGCACUGUUUCGGCAAGGGGGUCAUCCCGACUUACCAACCCGAUGCAAACUGCGAAUACCGGAGAAUGUUAUCACGGGAGACACACGGCGGGUGCUAACGUCCGUCGUGAAGAGGGAAACAACCCAGACCGCCAGCUAAGGUCCCAAAGUCAUGGUUAAGUGGGAAACGAUGUGGGAAGGCCCAGACAGCCAGGAUGUUGGCUUAGAAGCAGCCAUCAUUUAAAGAAAGCGUAAUAGCUCACUGGUCGAGUCGGCCUGCGCGGAAGAUGUAACGGGGCUAAACCAUGCACCGAAGCUGCGGCAGCGACACUAUGUGUUGUUGGGUAGGGGAGCGUUCUGUAAGCCUGUGAAGGUGGCCUGUGAGGGUUGCUGGAGGUAUCAGAAGUGCGAAUGCUGACAUAAGUAACGAUAAAGCGGGUGAAAAGCCCGCUCGCCGGAAGACCAAGGGUUCCUGUCCAACGUUAAUCGGGGCAGGGUGAGUCGACCCCUAAGGCGAGGCCGAAAGGCGUAGUCGAUGGGAAACAGGUUAAUAUUCCUGUACUUGGUGUUACUGCGAAGGGGGACGGAGAAGGCUAUGUUGGCCGGGCGACGGUUGUCCCGGUUUAAGCGUGUAGGCUGGUUUUCCAGGCAAAUCCGGAAAACCAAGGCUGAGGCGUGAUGACGAGGCACUACGGUGCUGAAGCGACAAAUGCCCUGCUUCCAGGAAAAGCCUCUAAGCAUCAGGUAACAUCAAAUCGUACCCCAAACCGACACAGGUGGUCAGGUAGAGAAUACCAAGGCGCUUGAGAGAACUCGGGUGAAGGAACUAGGCAAAAUGGUGCCGUAACUUCGGGAGAAGGCACGCUGAUAUGUAGGUGAAGCGACUUGCUCGUGGAGCUGAAAUCAGUCGAAGAUACCAGCUGGCUGCAACUGUUUAUUAAAAACACAGCACUGUGCAAACACGAAAGUGGACGUAUACGGUGUGACGCCUGCCCGGUGCCGGAAGGUUAAUUGAUGGGGUUAGCGGCAACGCGAAGCUCUUGAUCGAAGCCCCGGUAAACGGCGGCCGUAACUAUAACGGUCCUAAGGUAGCGAAAUUCCUUGUCGGGUAAGUUCCGACCUGCACGAAUGGCGUAAUGAUGGCCAGGCUGUCUCCACCCGAGACUCAGUGAAAUUGAACUCGCUGUGAAGAUGCAGUGUACCCGCGGCAAGACGGAAAGACCCCGUGAACCUUUACUAUAGCUUGACACUGAACAUUGAGCCUUGAUGUGUAGGAUAGGUGGGAGGCUUUGAAGUGUGGACGCCAGUCUGCAUGGAGCCGACCUUGAAAUACCACCCUUUAAUGUUUGAUGUUCUAACGUUGGCCCGUAAUCCGGGUUGCGGACAGUGUCUGGUGGGUAGUUUGACUGGGGCGGUCUCCUCCUAAAGAGUAACGGAGGAGCACGAAGGUUGGCUAAUCCUGGUCGGACAUCAGGAGGUUAGUGCAAUGGCAUAAGCCAGCUUGACUGCGAGCGUGACGGCGCGAGCAGGUGCGAAAGCAGGUCAUAGUGAUCCGGUGGUUCUGAAUGGAAGGGCCAUCGCUCAACGGAUAAAAGGUACUCCGGGGAUAACAGGCUGAUACCGCCCAAGAGUUCAUAUCGACGGCGGUGUUUGGCACCUCGAUGUCGGCUCAUCACAUCCUGGGGCUGAAGUAGGUCCCAAGGGUAUGGCUGUUCGCCAUUUAAAGUGGUACGCGAGCUGGGUUUAGAACGUCGUGAGACAGUUCGGUCCCUAUCUGCCGUGGGCGCUGGAGAACUGAGGGGGGCUGCUCCUAGUACGAGAGGACCGGAGUGGACGCAUCACUGGUGUUCGGGUUGUCAUGCCAAUGGCACUGCCCGGUAGCUAAAUGCGGAAGAGAUAAGUGCUGAAAGCAUCUAAGCACGAAACUUGCCCCGAGAUGAGUUCUCCCUGACUCCUUGAGAGUCCUGAAGGAACGUUGAAGACGACGACGUUGAUAGGCCGGGUGUGUAAGCGCAGCGAUGCGUUGAGCUAACCGGUACUAAUGAACCGUGAGGCUUAACCUU
rnacentral:rRNA from 1 species